rnacentral:lncRNA from 1 species
GCAAGAGCAGCUUUCAGGAAAAUACUGAAUCAUAGUUUACAGAAUGAUAAAUGAACAAUAAUUAUUAACAAUGAUGAAACUUACAAUAGACUCUAAAAACCCUUAUGCAUCUGUUUCUGCAAUCAGGAUAUGCCGAGCAGCGGAAACAGGGCACACUUCUCCUUAGACAGUAUUUGAAUUAAGUUACAGCUAAGUCAUUCAUUCUGCUCUUUAAGGUGAAUUUCACUGAUUUCAUCCAGCAAAUAUUUUUCUCACAGAAAGCAGAACUUAUUUUCUUAAUAAAAACACAAUUGUUGGGAAGAAAAGAACUGGAGCAUGUAGUAAACACACAGUUUGAGAAAGAUGGAAACAGAAGUGGAAAUUCUCCCUCGCCCAGAUGCCGGUCAUCUGAGCAUGUUCAGCUGAACUUUAUUUAUUAUGUCACAAUCAUAUUCUUGAAAAUGAGGUGGCAGUGACUAUGAGAAGAAACAGGACAUAGGAUAUGCUGUGAAGGCAGAAAUGUCCGAUGGUGACCACAGAUUAUGCAGGGACUAAAUAACAGCAAUGAAUCAUCUGAGCAGAAUAAGGACACACCCUCCUAGCCACCCACCCUCCACAUUCUACUUUCCUGAAUUUAAUAAAUUGGAGUGAAAAAUUGAAUUCUAAAUGCUACACCACAAUAAAGACAAAUCACUCAAGACAAAAUGAAAAUACAGAAAAUCAGAAAACCAAACCUAUUUAUUGAGGAUCUCAACUCUGCCUGCAUAACAGAACUAUCUAGAAUGCUGAAGCCCUGAUGGAAGAUGAAUAGAAACCGGACACUCCCACAGAGGGCUGGUUAGCUGGUGCACCAUCCCAUUUGCUCUUGGACUCUGCUCACUUCACCUCUCGGUGUGACUUUGCGAUGGCUGGAGCUGUGCCAGGCCUGCUACCCCUGGACACCUGAUGAUAUCAAGAGGACUAAGGGCCCCUGAAAUUUCAGAAAUGCUGAAUCCGUGGCAAAAGAGAUGUUAUUGGUGCCCUGAGUUCUUGUAAUCUCCAAGGAGAGAAAUCAAGAGGGAUCACCAGACAUAGCAGCCAAAAAGAAAGAGAAAAAUUUAUUUUAGCUUGUGUGCAAGGAAGUCAGCACUGCAAAAGGAAAAGCAACAAGGAACUCUCUAAUUCCUAUCUGACAGUUCACAGAGAUGUGAAUCGUGGAUGCUCCUUCAAUUGUCUGUGCUUAUGGAAGGUGCUAGGAAACUGAGCACCCAUGUCUAAUCUCCAGCUCCUAUUUUGGACACUAAAAGUGCUGCUCUACAAGGAAUAUGGAGAAUCCAUUCAACUUUUGCGUUGUAUUCCACUGAUACACACAAUGUUCUUUAAAUCUCGUGGUCAGAAAAAUGCUGUGUGCUUCACUAGUUGACAUUUCAUCUAUAUUUUCCAGUGACAUUUGUUUUAACACUUUACAUAGCAAUGGACCAAAAAAAAAAUACAUAUCUCUCUAGCCAAGACCAGUAUGAGCCACGUAAGACUCACAGGAAAGCAAUUAACUUAGUACUCUGAAAGUGACAUUUUAAAAAUUUUUUUUCAACAGUUAUUUAGAAGAAAGGCUAAGAGCAGUAUGUGGAAAGCUAAAAACAUAAAAAAAAAAAUUUACCUCAUCACUGU